GACGAACGCUGGCGGCGUGCUUAACACAUGCAAGUCGAACGAAGUGGCGAACGGGUGCUUAACGCGUAAUCAACCUGCCCUUCAGAGGAGGACAACAGUUGGAAACGACUGCUAAUACCGCAUACUGAAGGCGGGGAUUUCGGCUGAUAAGCUAGUUGGGGGGGUAACGGCCCACCAAGGCGAGGAACAGUAGACCGACUGGACGGAUGAACGGCCACAUUGGGACUGAGACACGGCCCAGACUCCUACGGGAGGUAGCAGUGGGUAUUCUUCCGCAAUGGACGAAAGUCUGACGGAGCAACGCCGCGUGAGUGAGGACGGCCUUCGGGUUGUAAAGCUCUGUUAAUCGGGACGCGGUACCGGAAUAGAAAGCCACGGCUAACUACGUGCCAGCAGCCGCGGUAAUUC
rnacentral:rRNA from 1 species